GAAAUGCGAUAAGUAAUGUGAAUUGCAGAAUUCCGUGAAUCAUCGAAUCUUUUAACGCACAUUGCGCCCUCUGGCAUUCCGGGGGGCAUGCCUGUCCGAGCGUCAUUACGCACCCUCAAGCCCGGCUUGUGUGAUGGGCCCUGGCGUCUCGUUCGCGAGACGGGCCCGAAAGGCAGCGGCGGCGUCGACCCGAUGAGCCCGAGCGUAUGGGGACUUUUGUCACACGUUUGCGGUGCGGACCGGCGCCUGCUUGACUUUUCUGAUUAUCCAGGUUGACCUCGGAUCAGGUAGGGAUACCCGCUGAACUUAAGC
rnacentral:misc_RNA from 1 species